UACGUAGGGUGCAAGCGUUAAUCGGAAUUACUGGGCGUAAAGCGUGCGCAGGCGGCUUUGCAAGACAGAUGUGAAAUCCCCGGGCUUAACCUGGGAAUGGCGUUUGGGACUGGAAGUCUGGAGUGCGGCAGAGGAGACUGGAAUUCCUGGUGUAGCAGUGAAAUGCGUAGAUAUCAGGAGGAACACCGAUGGCGAAGGCAGGUCUCUGGGCUGACACUGACGCUCAUGCACGAAAGCGUGGGGAGCAAACAGG
rnacentral:rRNA from 1 species